GAAUAUUGGACAAUGGGGGGAACCCUGAUCCAGCAAUGCCGCGUGUGUGAAGAAGGCCUGAGGGUUGUAAAGCACUUUCAGUGGGGAGGAAGGCGUCUUUUUUAAUAGAAGAGACGCUUGACGUUACCCAUAGAAGAAGCACCGGCUAACUCUGUGCCAGCAGCCGCGGUAAUACAGAGGGUGCAAGCGUUAAUCGGAAUUACUGGGCGUAAAGGGUGCGUAGGUGGUGUAUCAAGUUGGUUGUGAAAUCCCUGGGCUUAACCUGGGAAAGCCAAUCAAAACUGAUAUACUAGAGUACAGUAGAGGAUAGUGGAAUUUUCGGUGUAGCGGUGAAAUGCGUAGAUAUCGAAAGGAACAUCAAUGGCGAAGGCAGCUGUCUGGGCUGAUACUGACACUGAGGCACGAAAGCGUGGGUAGCAAACAGG
rnacentral:rRNA from 1 species